GCGACCUUAGCUCAGCUGGUAGAGCACUAGACUGAAGAUCUGGGUGUCCGCGGUUCGACUCCGCGAGGUCGCACCA
rnacentral:tRNA from 1 species